rnacentral:rRNA from 1 species
UACGGAGGGAGCUAGCGUUGUUCGGAAAUACUGGGCGUAAAAGCGCACGUAGGCGGCGCAGCAAGUCAGGGGGUGAAAAUUCCCGGGGGCUCAACCCCCGGAACUGCCUUUUGAAACUGCAGUGCUAGAAUCUUGGAGAGGCAAGUGGAAUUCCGAGUGUAGAGGUGAAAUUCGUAGAUAUUCGGAAGAACACCAGUGGCGAAGGCGACUCGCUGGACAAGUAUUGACGCUGAGGUGCGAAAGCGUGGGGAGCAAACAGG